rnacentral:snRNA from 1 species
AGCUUUGCUCAAUGGCAGUAUCAUAGCCAAUGAGGUUUAUCCCAGGUGCAAUUGAAAACUUUUCCCAAUAACUCACCAUGAUGACUUGAAAUACAAUCAGCACUGGCAAUUUUUGACAGUAUCUACGGAGA